rnacentral:lncRNA from 1 species
CUUUCGAACCGAGUAAAGACCAAUGAUCGGGGAAAUAUCGUUGCUGCCCAUAGCACGCCAUACGAUAACCUCCACUUCUAACACCCACACCACACGACUAUCGCUGCUGCCUACGCCCGCCAAUCGAUAACGUCCAACGAAACAAAUACCUGAAACUUCAUAACCCAACAGGGGGAACACUCACUCGGUUCACCUCCUUCGGAUACGGAUGUGCCGCAUUCAUACGACCACUUACCCUCGAUAGAAGCUCUACACUAAUACCACAGAAUGAAGUCUUGCCAAUCAAUCUCUCCUGACACGCUCUAAACACAUGGCAAGCAAUCACUGAACUCAACACCAUAGAUGAAAGUCUGCUAAAUAAGUUUAAAGUUCUGUAUUUUCAAGAACCAAAACAUGAUACCAAGUUUCAACAACCAGGAAAUCGAACGCUCCACUCCACAACAACCCAAUCCGCAACAAAACCACUUGGAAAAUAAAGGAGAGAGGCAACCAACCCGUCACGCGCCGUCACUGCUAUGACUCCGAAUAGAUCUAGAAAUGGAAAAUCAGAUCUGUCGAAAGUUAAACCCAUAAACGCCGACUCAACCUGCUUUAGAACCUGCGAUGCCUCGUAGUUACACCAGUGAAAAAUCUCAAGACACCGGAGCAAGCUCUCCCCGUAGCAAUACUAGGGAGCCGGCGGCGAGACCUUAACCAGUGCUUCCAACAUAUCAACACCAACAGAAAAAGAAAGAGGUGAGCAAAUAAAAAUGAGAUAGGGAAGAAGGGGGAUGGCCGGCAACGGACGCGCAGGUCACGCGCCGGCGGACUUGAAACUCUGAAAAAGUCGCCUAUGGAGAGAAGAAGGUGAGAGGGUUUUCCAAAUCACAAUUACUUAUUGUGUAAACUUUUUUCUUAUUG